UACGUAGGGUGCGAGCGUUGUCCGGAAUUAUUGGGCGUAAAGAGCUCGUAGGCGGUCUGUCGCGUCGAAUGUGAAAACCCGGGGCUCAACUCCGGGCUUGCAUUCGAUACGGGCAGGCUAGAGUUCGGGUAGGGGAGUCUGGAAUUCCUGGUGUAGCGGUGAAAUGCGCAGAUAUCAGGAGGAACACCGGUGGCGAAGGCGGGACUCUGGGCCGAUACUGACGCUGAGGAGCGAAAGCGUGGGGAGCGAACAGG
rnacentral:rRNA from 1 species